rnacentral:rRNA from 1 species
GUGACAAGCGUUGUCCGGAUUUACUGGGCGUAAAGAGCGCGCAGGCGGUCGUUCAAGUCGCGUGUGAAAGCCCCCGGCUCAACUGGGGAGGGUCACUCGAUACUGAUCGACUCGAAGGCAGGAGAGGGAAGUGGAAUUCCCGGUGUAGUGGUGAAAUGCGUAGAUAUCGGGAGGAACACCAGUGGCGAAGGCGACUUCCUGGCCUGUUCUUGACGCUGAGGCGCGAAAGCUAGGGGAGCAAACGGG